AACGUGGAUGGGAGGACUCGCUCGCGCGCGGACGUGUGAUGUAACGAAUUCUGCAGGUAGCGUGACUUCGAUUCCCACCAAAUAGUCACGCUAUUCGCAUUACCAGUCGAGCCGCGGUCGGUGCUAGAUCGCGACUUAAUACGGCGCGCGUCGCGGAAGGUUGCGCGGAUCAUUUGUCGCGGGGAACGUGCGAAAAUUACACGGAGGAGUUGGCGCGCAAACGAGCCGGAUGUAAGCUGCGUUUUUGCACGGUUGCUGCGGUUUCUUCCUCGCUGGACAGCAUCCGAGCGGCGAGUACUUGGUCGGUUUAGCCGGAGAGUCGUUUAUAGGUCCCUCAACAGUCCGGGUACCAUCGCCGCGGAGAUACUCCGUUAUUGAUGGAGCUUGUUAAAAUUAUUCGCGUGAUUUAUACCGGAUUAUAGCAGUCACACCACAAUAGUCAUAUCGCACGGUCAAUCGUUUGCGUUUAUCUGCCUUUAAGGGAAUCCUAAAGCCGUCUGUUUUAUCGAUUUUUUGUUUUCCUUUUAGAAGUAAUCUCUUUAGAAGUUUUCUUGCUAGAAGUAAUCUUUUAAUUGACUUUAUAGAAAUGCAAAAGUGAAAAUGUUGAUAAUUGACAUCUUUAAUUCCGUCUCCUAUCUUAUCGACACUGAUUGAGUUCGCCAGCGGCUUUAGGGUCCCCUUAAGCACUCAUUGCUCGUGUAUCGUCGUGGAGUUUUAUCGGGAUAAUAAUUCUCCGCUCAACAGACGUAACGUAUUCCGCAUGUUUGACAAGUUGGCCUUUCCGUAUUAAUGCGCGCAUAAUUUCCAACUGUAUUCAACAAUCCUCGGGCCGGUCCUCUUAAGCGGGCAAAGCCUUUGUAUAUCGGACUAUAGUAUUAUAACUAAUUACGACGGUAGGACCGAAAUGCCCGUGGCGUACAUGCAUAUGUCAUGCUGUGCACUUGCAUGCGUAAUUAUGUAAUCCCAUCUAAUCCUAUAAUCUGAGUCCACAAAUAAUCCCGCGCAAUACUGAAAUAGGUGGUAUGAUAAAGGGACGUGCAGUUUCUAUACGCGCGUCACGUUUUUGGAUAAGGUGCGCGAGCGAUUUAUAUCCGAAACAAACAAGUUGCGAGGUGAAAGGAACAAGGUGAGGAACGAGUUCGCCGGGCUCGCGUCUGAGUUUCAGAAAUAUAAAGGGCCGCGCUAACAAUGAGCGGGCGUCGCGGAAAAGAAAGCAGAACGAACCGGGCGAGAGAAUGAGAGCCGAGGCGGCCAAGCUCUCUCUAAAAAUACAUGGGUUUUAUGGGAUCGUAACACCGCGAGUUCGUUUCGCGCGGGGCGCGCAGCCCAGGCCUACCCACCCGCUCAUAAAUCCCUUUGACCAUUAGGCUCACGUGUGAAAUUGCUAUUACGUCGCGGUCCUACCGCAGCUGUCGUUACGCGGAAACCGCCCGACGCGACGUGUACCCCGGAGUCUACGGGCGUUUCAUACCCGAUCGUCGGAUCGAGCGACGCCCCCGUCAUCCCCGGCUGGCUGCAAGUCGCGAAACGAAGGGUAUUACCUGCCGCCUGUUGUCGGCGAGAGCGAGUCGUAACGUCGCUGGCUUCAAAUUAAAGUUUCAUAAUGGGAUCAAACCGGAGGACUUUUAACGAAAAAUAUAUGGAAAGUCGAAAACUGAAGAAUCAAAAACUCAAGAGCGAGAUUCCAUGAGGAUAUGAAGUUCCGCGGAGGUAUAGAGUUCUAUCGGAGCUACCGACGUUAAUUCUAUGCGGUUAUGGAAGGAAGAAGCACGCAACGAGCCUCGCCACUAAUGUCAAUUACCGUUAAUCUACUUAAUUGCUCGCGGUUAAUUUCUAAUUGAAAGUAUAACGUUCAAACGAAUAGGCUUAAUCUUCAUCAAUUAUAUGUAAAGCCCGAUAAUGGCGACACGGCCAUCGCAUUGUACUUUCUGUCCUCGUUAUUUUACUUCAUUUUCGCAUUUAUUUAACAGAAGCCGUUCCUGCGUCACAGCACUGCGAAUUGUCGUCGGAAUUGAUUGACAAUCAAAGAGAGAAUGAAUUUGAAGCAAAACAAUUUCACAAAAAUCUGAUAAUUUAAAUCGUAUGUUGCUGAAUAUUAAACGGUAUAUAUUUAUUAUUGACGAAUGCUACUAUGCGCUGUUUUUAGACGCGAAUCUUUUGCAGAACAGGCAAAAGUACGACGCAACACACGAACAAAAUUGACCGGCGAAAAAUCCACAAUGUUGCGAGAAAUAAGAACGAACGCGAUAACAGCUGCGCAACAGUUUUUACCGUACGCUAAUUGGUAUUCCGCAUAAUUAUCACUGCUUCCAACGCGCCUCACCUUCGCUAUUCCUCACGUAACUCUAUGACCACGAGGUAAUCGCGUACGACAGUUUCCGGAACGAAUCCACGCGAUUAAUUAAGAUUAUUAAGAAACCUGUGAUAUUAACCUUGACGGCUAUUUCUCAAACGAAUAUUUAGAAAAUAUGCAAUUACAUGGGAAACAUUCGGUGCGCAUACGGUAAUUAAUAAAAAUCUAUCUCGUA